CCUACGGGUGGCAGCAGUGGGGAAUAUUGGACAAUGGGGGCAACCCUGAUCCAGCCACGCCGCGUGUGUGAAGAAGGCCCUCGGGUUGUAAAGCACUUUCAGUGAGGAAGAACGCCUGGUGGUGAAUACCCAUCAGGAAAGACAUCACUCACAGAAGAAGCACCGGCUAACUCCGUGCCAGCAGCCGCGGUAAUACGGAGGGUGCGAGCGUUAAUCGGAAUUACUGGGCGUAAAGCGCGCGUAGGUGGCUUGAUAAGCCGGUUGUGAAAGCCCCGGGCUCAACCGGGGAACGGCAUCCGGAACUGUCAAGCUUGAGUGCAGGAGAGGAGGGUAGAAUUCCAGGUGUAGCGGUGAAAUGCGUAGAGAUCGGGAGGAACACCAGUGGCGAAGGCGGCCUUCUGGACUGCAACUGACGCUGAGGCUCGAAAGCGUGGGUAGCGAACAGGAUUAGAUACCCGGGUAGUC
rnacentral:rRNA from 1 species